CCGCGUUUCCCCUCACGGAGCCCCGGGAGCGCCGCGGGCCCGGAGCUCGGCACGGAGGCGGCCCCGGGCACCAGCCGCUGCCACACCCGUACCUGCCGCCGCCCAGCAUUUUUAGCAGCUGAAAUAAUUUUCGGAGCAUCUGAUGAGAGCUUUGAGUGCUUCCUUCCCUCCUCUCCCUCGCCAAGCCAUCCGUUCGGAGGCUGCCGCUGGCACAGCGAGUUCCCUCCUUCGGUGCCAUUUUGCACUGGGGACAAACCACGACGUGUCCUUUGGAAACCUCCUGUGGCUUCGCAGAGGUUCUUCAAACCUCACUAGCCAUAGGAAGCACCAGAUCACUGGAAAAAUUCAUGCUGUCCCGUAGCUGAGGGGUGAAGGAAGCUCGGCCGUCGUCGUGGCAUUUUGAAACUGCUCCAGGGCACUGCAGCUCCCACAGGGAAUGUGGGUACCCAGCCAGCUCCCGUGAAAGCAGAUCCGGGCCCCGCGGAGCUUUUCCAACCCUGGCACAAUGAAUUUCCCUUCCCCGCCUUGUGCCCGUGGGCAGCUGAAGGGGCACGGCCCCGCUGCCCCCACCAGAACCUCUGCCCAGGCUUCACAUCCGAUGGGAUGAGUCUCAGAAAAGAGGAUAACAAGGCCCUGGGAGGAGAUUAAAGUUCGCUCCUUCUGGUGUCAAUCUGGAGGACAAACAGCCUCUAAUCCCGCUCCAAAGGGGAGAUCCGAGGCCUUUAAGUCUCUUAAGUGUGGGCUCAGCCUGGAGCUGCCCUCGGGCUCCGCAGCUCCUUCCUGCUGCCAGGCUGGGCAGAGGGGGGCUCUGGGCCGGGGAAAGGGGGGCACAUCCCAGCCAGGGGGGGCUCUGCACCCCCAGAUCCCGGCUCUUCCCUGGGUUCCAGUCGGUGGGAUGGCUGCGAGGCCGUGCCCUUGCUUUGGGUAUGGGGAUCAAAUCCACACUCUUGGAGCAACUUCCCCGGGGCUGAGACUUGUUUGUUCUUUUCCUUACAACUCUGAUGGCAAUGAAACUCAGGUUUCCUAGGAUGGAAUAAAGCUGGUUCAGUCAGGGAGACCCGGAGAGGGAAGCGUGGGGGCGAGUUUGGGAACGCGCUAAACCCUUGUGCUUUUUGGGCUGCAGAUUCACCCCGAGGGGCGUGAGGUUCUCCCGCAGAGCCAGGAAUUCCAGCAGAAAUUCCACCAUUUUCGCCUCCCGGGGUGUCACCCGCGCUGUCUCCUGGAAGCUGUCCCAGAUGGGUUGGGAAAGCAGAGCUUUUCCUCUGCAGCAAAAACCACGAGCCCCGGUGAGAAAGCUGCGAGGUGCUGCCAGGUGUGCUGCCUGCAUCCUACCUGGAACUGGGCCAGGAGCUGGAAAAUGAGCACGGGAGGGAGGAAAGGAGGGAAAGAGAGAAGAACCGGAGCGUGGCUAAUGCAAUUACACCUCGAGCAGGCCGAGCGGCGCUAAUCCCCGUGCCGUACCUGCGGGGAGGAGGAGAUCGGUGAGGAAGGGCUCUCAGAAUCCUCGGCCUCUCGCAAAGCCCCCGGGCACAGCGGGGAUUUGGCCCUUGGAUUGCUUCGGGGAUGUCCUGCCGCGGGCUUGGGAGGGUGUGUCCCUGCCGGAGAGCGUUUGAUUGCAGAGAAUCUGAGUUAAUAAGCUGGGCUUUAUUUAUUCAUGGGGGUGUCCCAGCACGCACAGGCUCCGGUCCCGUGUCUGCUCCCGCUUCGGGGUUCGUCUCUUUGUGUCAGCGAGGGAAACAGUAAAAAAGCCAAAUAUUUGUACACGUCCGCCUAAAAUCAAAUUUCCCAGAGGCGCUUC